rnacentral:snoRNA from 1 species
AUUUGAUGAUGAGGACAACUUGCACAUAACUUUUUAAACCGCUCCCAAUACUUAUACAAACUCUCUUUAUUAUACUGCCGAAUGCCAUAAAUUUCUUUUCUUAUGUU